rnacentral:rRNA from 1 species
UACGGAGGGUGCGAGCGUUGUCCGGAAUCACUGGGCGUAAAGGGCGCGUAGGCGGCUGGGUAAGUCUGUGGUGAAAGCUCGUGGCUCAACUACGAGUCGGCCAUAGAUACUCUCUAGCUCGAGCACUGUAGAGGCAGGUGGAAUUCCGGGUGUAGCGGUGGAAUGCGUAGAGAUCCGGAAGAACACCGGUGGCGAAGGCGGCCUGCUGGGCAGUAACUGACGCUGAGGAGCGAAAGCGUGGGGAGCGAACAGG